CUCGUAGUCGACAUUUAGGUGCGUAGUCGCGCGCAACUCUCGCGUCGAGCGGUCCUCGAAAGUCCAGUUACAAAUAUUGAAGGAGCUAACCAGCAAAACCAGUCAUUUCUUGUAAAGUGAAAUGCGGAAAACGCGUUAAGAGCGACAGAGCGAGAGAGAAAGCGAGCGGGAGAGAAAGCGAGAAAGAGAAAGCGAGAAGAAGUAAUCAAAUGAAAAAAAAAAAAUAGCGAAAUUGAGGAAGAAAUUAAGAAUCAAGCAAAACACAGUACCACACAGAAGCGGUAAAAGCUAAAGAAGCGGCUAAGGAAUAUUACAACACUAAAUAUCCACCAUAAAAGCAAUAAAAAAAAAAAGCAACAACAGCAACAAAAGUGCCAUAUGCAACCGAUAAGACUGUGUGAUUCAGAUCGGAUUGGACUCAACUCUGCGUGUGUGCGUGCGUGUGUGCCUGUGUGUGUGUGAGUGAGUGCGAGUGAGUGAGAGGGAGUCAGAGUGAGUGAGAGAGUGAGACAGCAAGAGAAUGACGGACGCUCGGGGCAGCCAAGUUGCAGCAAAGCCCGGCGUCCCCGCCGCCGUAUGGAAAUCCGUAUGAGCUAGAGGACCCGUUCCACAUCCAAACCAAGAAAAAGGCAACGAUCAGUAGGGAUCUGGAUCCGGAUCCGGUAGCAGCGGAUACUAUCCAUCUAUCCAUCCCCCUCAGACACUCUUCAGCACACUGACAACUGUCAUCCGUCAUCUGGUGGUGGUGGUGGUGGUAUCUGUCAUCCGUCACCAACUGUCACCUGUCAGAAGGGGAGCAGCAGCAGUACAGUCCCGGCCCAGUCCCCCUCCCCGCCCCCAGC